CAAUAGCGUAUAUUUAAGUUGUUGCAGUUAAAAAGCUCGUAGUUGGAUUUCGGUUAAGAGCGACCGGUCCGCCGUUUGGUGUGCACUGGUUGGUUUUAACUUCCUGUAGAGGACGUGCUCUGGGUUUAACGACCUGGACUCGGAGUCUACGUGGUUACUUUGAAAAAAUUAGAGUGUUCAAAGCGGGCUUACGCUUGAAUAUUUCAGCAUGGAAUAACACUAUAGGACUCCUGUCCUAUUUCGUUGGUCUCGGGACGGGAGUAAUGAUUAAGAGGAACAGUUGGGGGCAUUCGUAUUUCAUUGUCAGAGGUGAAAUUCUUGGAUUUAUGAAAGACGAACUUCUGCGAAAGCAUUUGCCAAGUAUGUUUUCAUUA
rnacentral:rRNA from 1 species